AUGGAAGGGAGCAGCAGCCGGACGCCGGAGAUAACCAUCGUCCCGGCGCCUAGGCCGGCGGCGGCCGGUGGCGGUGGCGCCGUCGAGGCGGUGAAGGCGGCGAGCAAGGAGCCCAUCAGCCCGGGCUCGCCUUCCCCGGCCAGCAAGGAGCGCCCCGGCGCCGUCUCCCUGCCCGGGUGGAAGCUCGACUCCCUCUGCAAGGAGUCCAGCUCGCCGACGGCCAUGAUGGCGCGCUUCCCCUAUUUCUGA
rnacentral:rRNA from 1 species